GUCAAACAAAGGUAAGGUAUAGGUGUGUUCCGAUAUAUUGUUUUAAGUUUAUUUAUCUAGAGUUGGCUUUAUUUUAGCUCUAAAAUCUUGGAGCGAGAGCUGGCGGCAGUGCCAGAUCAAACAAGUUCAGGAGGACGACUGGAGGACUGGUUAAAAGAUCCGCCCCGCUGCCACCCGAAAGUAGAGAUUCCACAGGAAAAGCAAAAUCCUCAUCUGGCCCGAACGUGGAAAGCCGCUCCAGCCACGUGACGAACCUGUGGGCCCGGCAGAGUGUGAGAACGAGAGCCUGAGGGUACUAAGUCCGAGGAGCCUCCCGCCUGUGGGGGCGGAGCGGGCCCCUCUCGAUGACAUCGAGGACUGUCGUGUUCCUGAAGGACCCAGAGGAACGACAUAUGGAGGCAGUAGUUGGGUAUAUGAUUUUAUGGAUCCUCUCAGGUUACAGCAGCCCGAGAUAAAGAGAAGACUGUCGCACUCCUAAAAGAAAUGGACAUUCUCAAGAGCAAGCAAUAAAAGGUACUAUAUAGAUAGUCCUGAUAAUUGUACAGU
rnacentral:lncRNA from 1 species